UUAAUACAACCUCCGUCUCAAAUUACUUGUCUUAGAUUUGUCUAGAUACAAAUGUAGUUAACAUUAAAACAUUUUUAGAUACAUCUCUAUCUAGAUAAAUCUAAAACAAGUAAUUUCGGACGGAGGGAGUACUUG
rfam:Triticum aestivum genome assembly, contig: Triticum_aestivum_CS42_TGACv1_scaffold_404278_5BL